UCAUGAACAACGCAAAAUAACAACAUUCUUCUCAAAAAGCGUUCCUACGAGGACUCGUCCAAGGAAGUAAGGAAAUCGUCAUAGAGAAUGGAGACCAAGUACAGCUUGACUGGACAGGGUCGAUCUUGGGUGCAGUACCUGCCUGGCCUUCGGGUUCAUGUGGUAGGAAUUGCAAUGAUUGAUUCUACAA
rfam:Penicillium brasilianum genome assembly, contig: SCAF7